rnacentral:sRNA from 1 species
CAUCUCUGCUCAGAGUAUCUUGAUGUGAUCGGUUCCCAGCAAUGAACUGGCCGCAAUAAAUGUUGAAUGAAUGAACAUCCUUCUAGCAAAGAUUGACUGCCUAGUAUAGCUAAAUGAACCAAUAUAAGGCACUGAUUUUGACUUUUGGUCUCUCCUGGGAUUUCCUAGAACUGAAGAUGUGUGGCUACAAUGGCUCUGUCCCUUCUGUGGAAUCGUUACACCAAGAGGUCUCAGUCCUGGUCCCUGACCCCACAGUGAGCUGUUUAGAUGAUCCUUCACAUCUUCCUGAUCAACUGGAAGACACUCCAAUCCUCAGUGAAGACUCUCUGGAGCCCUUCAACUCUCUGGCACCAGAGCCAGUGAGUGGAGGACUAUAUGGUAUUGAUGACACGGAGCUGAUGGGUGCAGAGGACAAGCUGCCUCUUGAGGACAGCCCUGUGAUUUCUGCCCUUGAUUGCCCUUCCCUCAAUAAUGCUACUGCCUUCAGUCUCCUGGCAGAUGAUAGUCAAACAUCAGCCUCUAUCUUUGCCAGUCCCACCUCUCCACCUGUCCUAGGGGAGUCUGUCCUGC